rnacentral:lncRNA from 12 species
GGUGCAUUUUUGGUUCCCCUGUGCUGAGUGGUGUCCACACUGUGCUCCCCUGAAUCCUCCUGACCAUGCUGCCAUGCUCCCAUUUUGCAGAAGAGGAAGUGAAGGCUCUGACUCGGGACCCAGUGUGCUCAUGCCACCCAGCAGGGGGACACCAGGGGCAUUGGCUUUUGUCAACAGGACUUUGGAUAUGAACAAAACACACGCAAUCAUUUCCCACCAGGAUAUGACAUUCUGGACCAACCCUGAAUGUGGGCACAUGUG